AGUGAACGCUGGCGGUAGGCCUAACACAUGCAAGUCGAACGGCAGCACAGUAAGAGCUUGCUCUUACGGGUGGCGAGUGGCGGACGGGUGAGGAAUACAUCGGAAUCUACUUUUUCGUGGGGGAUAACGUAGGGAAACUUACGCUAAUACCGCAUACGACCUACGGGUGAAAGCAGGGGAUCUUCGGACCUUGCGCGAUUGAAUGAGCCGAUGUCGGAUUAGCUAGUUGGCGGGGUAAAGGCCCACCAAGGCGACGAUCCGUAGCUGGUCUGAGAGGCUGAUCAGCCACACUGGAACGGAGACACGGUCCAGACUCCUACGGGAGGCAGCAGUGGGGAAUAUUGGACAAUGGGCGCAAGCCUGAUCCAGCCAUACCGCGUGGGUGAAGAAGGCCUUCGGGUUGUAAAGCCCUUUUGUUGGGAAAGAAAAGCAGCAGGUUAAUACCCCGCUGUUCUGACGGUACCCAAAGAAUAAGCACCGGCUAACUUCGUG
rnacentral:rRNA from 1 species